CCUCCCACUCCCACACAGCACACACAGCCCUAGCAGCUAAGUUGCUCUAGUCAGCGGUGGACUAGGCAUCCUCACGGAGCACUCCUUGGACACCUGCUCACUGAAGGUGAUUCUCCGCUUCGUUUGCUCUGAAGCCACCCAAGGCCAGGAAUAUGAAGCAAGCUUGUUGCAUGGCCUCGACACCAGAAAACAUGCCUUCCUCUUGGUGAUUCUCUUUUUCCAAAGAAGGACCUGGCUCCGGACAUGACUCUACCAGUAGUCAGCAGGGAAGACGGCAGAUGGUCUGAUCAACCGCAUGGAGCUUAGAGUCUUCUCAUUCCAGACUUCGCCCGCAACGUCCCCAUCUCAGACUACAAUAAUUCUUGUGUGACUCUGGGAGAGGUAGCUUAGCUUGUCUGGGUCUCCAUCUAAAACAGCACAGGGAUUAAAA